rnacentral:rRNA from 1 species
GGGGAAUUGUUCGCAAUGGGCGCAAGCCUGACGACGCAACGCCGCGUGGAGGAUGAAGAUCUUCGGGUCGUAAACUCCUGUCGAGCGGGACGAACACUUACCGGGCUAACAUCCGGGUAGGCUGACGGUACCUCCUUAGCAAGCACCGGCUAACUUCGUGCCAGCAGCCGCGGUAAUACGAAGGGUGCAAACGUUGCUCGGAAUUAUUGGGCGUAAAGCGCACGUAGGCGGUAUUGCAAGUCGGAUGUGAAAUCCCUCGGCUCAACCAAGGAAGUGCAUCCGAAACUGCCGUACUUGAGUACUUAAGAGGAUCGCGGAAUUCCCGGUGUAGAGGUGAAAUUCGUAGAUAUCGGGAGGAACACCAGUGGCGAAGGCGGCGAUCUGGGAAGAUACUGACGCUGAGGUGCGAAAGCGUGGGGAGCAAA